CCUACGGGAGGCAGCAGUGGGGAAUAUUGGGCAAUGGGCGCAAGCCUGACCCAGCAACGCCGCGUGAAGGAAGAAGGCUUUCGGGUUGUAAACUUCUUUUUUCAGGGACGAAGCAAGUGACGGUACUUGACGAUUAAGCCACGGCUAACUAUGUGCCAGCAGCCGCGGUAAUACGUAGGUGGCAAGCGUUAUCCGGAUUUACUGGGUGUAAAGGGCGUGUAGGCGGGACUGCAAGUCAGAUGUGAAAACCACGGGCUCAACCUGUGGCCUGCAUUUGACACUGUAGUUCUUGAGUACUGGAGAGGCAGACGGAAUUCCUGGUGUAGCGGUGAAAUGCGUAGAUAUUAGGAGGAACACCAAUGGCGAAGGCGGUCUGCUGGACAGCAACUGACGCUGAGGCGCGAAAGCGUGGGGAGCAAACAGGAUUAGAUACCCUUGUAGUC
rnacentral:rRNA from 1 species